GUCCUAAGGUAGCGAAAUUCCUUGUCGGGUGAGUUCCGACCCGCACGAAUGGCAUAAUGAUGUGGAGACUGUCUUAACUAUGUACUCGGCGAAAAUGCAAGUGUCGUGAAGAUGCGACGUACCCGCAGCUAGACGAAAAGACCCCAUGAAGCUUUACUACAACUUGAUAUUGGCACAUUACCUCACAUGUUCAGCAUAGGUGGGAGCCUCGGCAACAGUGAGAUACCACCCUUGUGUUGUGAUGUGCCUAAUUUUGGUCCGUGAAUCCGGAUUAAAAGACAGUGUCUGGUGGGUAGUUUAACUGGGGCGGUUGCCUCCUAAAUUGUAACGGAGGCGUUUACAAAGGUUGGCUUGGUCCGGAUGGAAAUCGGACUGGACGUGCAAACGCAAAAGCCAGCUUUACUGCAAGGGCUACCACCCGCGCAGUUGCGAAAGCAGAAGUUAGUGAUCCGACCGUACGAUAUAGGACGGCGGAAGCUCAACGGAUAAAAGUUACUCUGGGGAUAACAGGCUGAUCGCGCCCAAGCGUCCAUAGCGACGGCGCGGUUUGGCACCUUAACAUUAUCGGGGUGCAUAUACAGUGAUGUUUAUCCAGAUCUUUUCGUUUAUUAGCAAAACAAAUAAAGAUAGAGACAAUAAAAAAUCGGCUUAUAACGGUGAACCCGCCAGGGAUACAGCAUCCACUCGGCAAUACCGUGGGAAGCUUACGCGUACAAAGCGUAUAGCCCCGUAACGACUGACCCGAAAGGGGAGGCUUCCUAAUUUUAUAAAAGGAGGCAACACGCCGACUCUUGUAAUGUCAAACUGAAGACUAUGCCUCGUGUCUGUACAAGACACAUAUACAAAGGCUACGGUCCAGUACAAGAUGAAGAUAUAGUCUACGCCACACGAAAUUGUGGAAUAAAGUACGAUGUCGGCUCAUCGCAUCCUGGGGCUGGAGAAGGUCCCAAGGGUUAGGCUGUUCGCCUAUUAAAGCGGUACGCGAGCUGGGUUCAGAACGUCGUGAGACAGUUCGGUCUCCUAUCUGCUGUGGGCGCUGAAUAUUGAGGAAAUUUAUCUCUAGUACGAGAGGACCGAGAUGGACGAACCUCUGGUGUACCGGUUGUACCUGCCAAGGGCAUUGCCGGGUAGCUAAGUUCGGCACGGAUAAGCGCUGAAAGCAUCUAAGCGCGAAGCCGUUUCCAAGAUAAAUAUUCGUUUGAGACCCGUUCGAGACGAGAACGUUGAUAGGCACUAGGUGGAAGUCUAGUAAUAGAUUGAGCCAAGGUGUACUAAUGUGUCGAGCACAUGACAGA
rnacentral:rRNA from 1 species